UCUAGGUUAUUCUAUCAAAUGACCUCACCAAUUGAAGAACACAGAACAUAAAGCUUGAGAGGCAAGAGAUCCUUCCUUCAAGACCAUUUCAGUGGGAAAGAGGCACGCCAUGGGCUCUGCUCAGGUUCCUUGAACCAGAACUUGACUAUGCCAGGCUUGCUGGGUAGCCAGGGAUUUCCCUGUCUCUGCUUCUUAGUGCUGGGAUUUCAGGUGCAGGAACUGGAGUGGAGUGAUUAGAUUUCCAGUCCACAAAUUUACCUCACUCUGCUGCUCUGGGGCUCAGGAAUAUUUUGGUUUUGCUCAGCUAAUCUCACUUCUCAGAAUAGGGUCUGGACUACUGCAGGAACAAAGUGAGAAGUGGUGGACGCGUGUAGAGGUAAUUUGCGGUGCUAAACACGGACAUGGCCUUACUCUUCGUCCUAAGCAACUUCUCUUGGUCAAUGUCUUUGGCCAA